UAAGGAAUAUUGGACAAUGGAGGCAACUCUGAUCCAGCCAUCCCGCGUGCAGGAUGACGGCCCUAUGGGUUGUAAACUGCUUUUGCGAGGGAAGAAACGAAGCUAUUUAUAGUUUUUUGACGGUACCUCGAGAAUAAGCACCGGCUAACUCCGUGCCAGCAGCCGCGGUAAUA
rnacentral:rRNA from 1 species